rnacentral:rRNA from 1 species
CUGGGAACUGCGUUNUGAACUGGGUAGCUAGAGUAUGUCAGAGGGGGGUAGAAUUCCACGUGUAGCAGUGAAAUGCGUAGAGAUGUGGAGGAAUACCGAUGGCGAAGGCAGCCCCCUGGGAUAAUACUGACGUUCAUGCUCGAAAGCGUGGGUAGCAAACAGGAUUAGAUACCCUGGUAGUCCACGCCCUAAACGAUGUCGAUUAGCUGUUGGGCAGCUUGACUGCUUAGUAGCGUAGCUAACGCGUGAAAUCGACCGCCUGGGGAGUACGGUCGCAAGAUUAAAACUCAAAGGAAUUGACGGGGACCCGCACAAGCGGUGGAUGAUGUGGAUUAAUUCGAUGCAACGCGAAGAACCUUACCUGGUCUUGACAUGUACGGAACCUUCCAGAGACGGAAGGGUGCCUUCGGGAGCCGUAACACAGGUGCUGCAUGGCUGUCGUCAGCUCGUGUCGUGAGAUGUUGGGUUAAGUCCCGCAACGAGCGCAACCCUUGUCAUUAGUUGCCAUCAUUCAGUUGGGCACUCUAAUGAGACUGCCGGUGACAAACCGGAGGAAGGUGGGGAUGACGUCAAGUCCUCAUGGCCCUUAUGACCAGGGCUUCACACGUCAUACAAUGGUCGGUACAAAGGGUAGCCAAGCCGCGAGGCGGAGCCAAUCUCAUAAAACCGAUCGUAGUCCGGAUUGCACUCUGCAACUCGAGUGCAUGAAGUCGGAAUCGCUAGUAAUCGCAGGUCAGCAUACUGCGGUGAAUACGUUCCCGGGUCUUGUACACACCGCCCGUCACACCAUGGGAGUGGGGGAUACCAGAAGU